rnacentral:rRNA from 1 species
GGGGGGGGGGGGGGGGGGGGUGGGGAGGGGCGGGUCGAACGGGGCGGGCUUCGUUGUUGGGGGUGGGGGGAGUGGCGAACGGGGGAGUAUCACGUGAGUAACCUGCCCUUCGGGCCGGGAGAACCGCUUGAAAGGGCGGCGAAUACGGGGUGGUCCGGGUGGUCCGCAUGGGCUGGUCGGGGUAGAUUCACUGUUUUUGGGGUUUCGGCGGGGGAUGGGCUCGCGGCCUAUCAGCUUGUUGGUGGGGUGAUGGCCUACCAAGGCGGUGACGGGUAGCCGGCCUGAGAGGGUGGGCGGCCACACUGGGACUGAGAUACGGCCCAGACUCCUGCGGGAGGCAGCAGUGGGGGGUAUUGCACAAUGGGCGGAAGCCUGAUGCAGCGACGUCGCGUGAGGGAUGGAGGCCUUCGGGUUGUGAACCUCUGUUUCCGGUGGUGAAGGCCCUGUCCGUGUGGUGGGGUUGACGGUAGCCGGGGAUGAAGCGCCGGCUAACUACGUG